rnacentral:rRNA from 1 species
GAUGAACGCUGACAGAAUGCUUAACACAUGCAAGUCAACUUGAACUUCGGUUUGGGUGGCGGACGGGUGAGUCACGCGUAAAGAACUUGCCUCACAGAUAGGGACAACAUUUGGAAACGAAUGCUAAUACCUGAUAUUAUGAUUAUAUGGCAUCGUAUAAUUAUGAAAGCUAUAUGCGCUGUGAGAGAGCUUUGCGUCCCAUUAGCUAGUUGGAGAGGUAACGGCUCACCAAGGCGAUGAUGGGUAGCCGGCCUGAGAGGGUGAUCGGCCACAAGGGGACUGAGACACGGCCCUUACUCCUACGGGAGGCAGAAGUGGGGAAUAUUGGACAAUGGACCAAGAGUCUGAUCCAGCAAUUCUGUGUGCACGAUGAAGUUUUUCGGAAUGUAAAGUGCUUUCAGUUGGGAAGAAAAAAAUGACGGUACCAACAGAAGAAGUGACGGCUAAAUACGUG